rnacentral:rRNA from 1 species
GACGGAGGGUGCAAGCGUUGUUCGGAAUUACUGGGCGUAAAGGGCGCGCAGGCGGUCGUUCAAGUCGCGUGUGAAAGCCCCCGGCUCAACUGGGGAGGGUCACGCGAUACUGAUCGACUCGAAGGCAGGAGAGGGUAGUGGAAUUCCCGGUGUAGUGGUGAAAUGCGUAGAUAUCGGGAGGAACGCCAGUGGCGAAAGCGGCAGACUGGACCCUUCCUGACGCUGAGGCGCGAAAGCUAGGGGAGCAAACGGG